UGCGUGUCAACUGUAGAGCCAACAACCUUCAGAGGGAUUUAUUUAGUCAAGUGGUGCCUUAGGAACAGAAAGACACUGAAAACAGCAGCUUAAGAUCUGCGUUUUUUGCACACUCUUGCCUCUGAGUUGGAGCUCAGAGGAGGGGACCCAGUCUAAGUUUUUUGAUGACUGGAAGGACGCUCCAACACAUUGCUUCAGCCUUUCACACCAGGCUCAGAAAAACCCUCAGUGUUUGCUAUGUGGAUGUUUGUUUCUGGUUUGCCCGGCACAAAUCACAAAUCACGGAUGCUCUCUGACUUCCUGGCUGUUGCUCUCUGGCCCUGGAGGGGAUGUCUGAUGGGGUCAAAUCCGCCUUUGCUCUUCAGUGGGAUAGCUCUACUGUUCACCCUGCGUUUGUUCCUGUGAUCACCCCUGAACGGACAGCAGUGCCAGGCUCUGGCCUAUUAGCUCCCACUGCAGCCAGCCCUUUCAUAAAUAACUGAUUGUCAGGGAUUUUAAUGGAAACCCUGUGGAAGCGGUAAAUCUUUGCUGCUUGCUCCUGCAUCCUCUCCCUCAUUUCCAUCACAAUAUCACUCCAGAGGGAUGUGAGACCAAAGCGGGAGCGGAGCGUGGCAGAGCAGAUUGGUAGGACACUGGGGAAAGAAAGAGGCGGGAUGGGGGAGGGGAACAGAGCUGGGGCAGUUGGUCUUAGGGAAGCAUCUGCUGGGUGGCCAGUUGAUGAUGGUCACCUGGGUCCCCAGAGCCCUGGAGAGGGGGAGUGGCAAGAUAGCCCAGGGCCACCUGGAGGGAAGAGGGAAGACAACAGGACGGCAGAAAGGUUUCUAGAAGAGCAGCAAUGGGCUGCUGGUUCCCCCUCGGGCCCUCCAGGGUGAGCAGGUUUUCAGUGUCUGCUUGGGGCUAAGCUAUGCCUUUGCCUCUAGCCUCCUGCCUGCGCAGAUCAGCAGGUAAAGGGACAGUGUCCUGUGUUGGGAGGAAAACUUUUCCUCUACCAACUUAGGUGCAAAAGGUAACAAAGUAUAUUCACAUAUAUAUGAGAGCACUCAGGAGUGAGUAACUCUUCAAACAGGUAGAGAUAAACGUUUAUACAUCAGCUUAAAAAGGGAGGUUUAGGGCUUCAAAGGAUGGAAGACCCUGAUGAGACCUGUUAACACAAUUUUUUUGGAAUGUCCAUGUGUCCAAGGACAGAGCCUGCCUCCCUGGCAAUUUUCCUGGAGGAUGAGGGAGGCAGUUGUGGCAGGUGACUCUCAUAAAGCUCUGCUUUAUUUAGAUAAGAGAAAUUCAGAUAAGACAUCUUUCUGCAUCUGCUGUAGCUCAAAUGUUUUCAUUUCAAGUGAAAACUAUGCUGGAGGGUUUUUUCAGUCCCUUCACCUUUCCUCCAGCAUCCUAUCAGAGCACAGCAUGAAGACUGGGCACUCUCAUCGGAUGCAAUGCUCCCAAUGAAUCUGCUAAAAGCUCACAUCCUCUGGGAAACUCUCCUGGACCAGCUCCAACAGGCUUCACAUGAAAGAUGUGGAUCUGGCCUCCUCCAUUAGUUCUCUUGACUAUAGGUUUUCAAAGAAGGGCCUGCUUCUCCUCCUCACAUGUCUUCCAAGAGCCCUCAGUAGAGAGGAAUGACCCAUAGUCUUCCAGAAGUCUAAGAAUAAACAAUUCUUUUUCACAGGAGCAGCUGCAUUUCAGUGGCACCAAGUCAAGCAUCUGGAAAAUAGGCAACAAGAAUCCUUGGAUCAAUCCACAAGGGAGUUUCCUAAAAUCAUUAGGGUUCAGGAACUUAAAAUCGAUCCUUUGCUCUUUCACCCAUCCUGAAUUAACCCAGGCAGAAACAGCUCUACUGACUGCCAAUCCUUCGCAGGCAGGAGUCUGGGCUUAGACAGGUGGAAACCGAAGGAAACCACAAUUAAUUUGAAUCCGUUCUCUACUCUCAUUCCCAAUCUGUCCGAGGACAGUCAAGACGUUAUGAGAAGCCAAGACCCCCGAGCUCCAGGCAGCCCUCUCUUAUCGGCCAGUUCAGUAGAGGGGCCACGAGCCCCCUACACACUCUGAGUAGACGGAUGAUUUACUAAGUCUGAGCGGUUCAUUAUAGGUUUUCAAUACCCAUUUUACUUUAAAGAAGCUAAGCUUCCAAGAGAUAAUGUCAACUGCCCGAGGUUACACAAGCAGUAAUACGCCUGAGAUCUUGACUUGGGUCUCAAUCCAACGCUCUCCGCACGGCGCCUCCUGCCCCUAGUUGUGGAUAUUUAUCUCCCUGGAGGCCUAAGGAUGUACAGGCCCCCCUCGCUCAGCGCAGCCCAGCGCAGCCGGGCGAGGGAGCCAGACCCCCGGAUCCGCGCCCACCCCGAUGUUCCGGCCGCGCCUGCGCAAGGCUCCCCGACCGCGCUGGCCGGGGUGGCCGCGGACCCGGGCUGGGGCGCGUGGUGGGACGGGGUGGGAGGGCUGGGGAGGGCAGGGACCCGCGCAGGACGAGCGGUGGUCGGCCCCGCGCGCCGCCGGCGCGGCCCAGCGUCCUCGGCGUCUCCCGG
ensembl:lncRNA